CAUAUAUAUAAGAUAUGUAAGUUAAAAAAAAGACAAUGGGAACACCCAAGGAAACCUUUGGUAGGGAUGGAAAACCCACAGUUAGGCAAGGUGCUGCGGUAGUGCACACCCCUGCUUACCCACAAGGUGCUGCGGUAGUGCACAGCCCUGCUUACCCACAAGGUGCUGCGGUAGUGCACAGCCCUGCUUACCCACAAGGUGCUGCGGUAGUGCACAGCCCUGCUUACCCACAAGGUGCUGCGGUAGUGCACAGCCCUGCUUACCCACAAGGUGCUGGGGUAGUGCACACCCCUGCUUACCCACAAGGUGCUGCGGUAGUGCACAGCCCUGCUUACCCACAAGGUGCUGCGGUAGUACACAGCCCUGCUUACCCACAAGGUGCUGCAGUAGCGCACACACGCACCCCUGCUUUACCUGCUGGAGCUCCUGCUCUCUCUGCCUAUGCCUUGUCUCCAUCUGCUUGAUCUUUC